AAAUUACCUGAUGUUUUGACGAUAUAACUCUUAAUGAAAAUUUAAUUGAAAAUUGGCAAAUCAUUCAUUUAAAGUGUAACACGAAGAAUGUAAAUGUGUACGUGGAUUUAAAAUGUGCGUAUAACAACAGUAUAAUAAUUAUAUAAAAAAAUGAAUUAAAUAAUGAAACAAAAGUAUAUUUAUAAAAAUCUAGUAAUUAAAUUAAUUUAUAAAAAUUUUUAAUUAAAAAACAUUAAUCUAAAUGACUAAAAAAAUUUAUUAUGAAUGGAAGCAUAAAAAUACAUUGAUAUUGUACAUUUUUAAAGCGCAAUAUUUGAGAUUUUUAAGAUGUAAAAAAUUAAUAAUUUAAAAACAAAAAAAAAGAAUAUAAAAUGAUGAAGAGUUUAAAAAGAAAUUACAGAUAGAUUUAUAAAA